AACGAACGCUGGCGGCAGGCUUAACACAUGCAAGUCGAACGCCCCGCAAGGGGAGUGGCAGACGGGUGAGUAACGCGUGGGAAUCUACCCAGAUCUUCGGAACAACUGAGGGAAACUUCAGCUAAUACCGGAUACGCCCUACGGGGGAAAGAUUUAUCGGAUCUGGAUGAGCCCGCGUUGGAUUAGCUAGUUGGUGAGGUUAUGGCUCACCAAGGCGACGAUCCAUAGCUGGUCUGAGAGGAUGAUCAGCCACACUGGGACUGAGACACGGCCCAGACUCCUACGGGAGGCAGCAGUGGGGAAUAUUGGACAAUGGGCGAAAGCCUGAUCCAGCCAUGCCGCGUGAGUGAUGAAGGCCUUAGGGUUGUAAAGCUCUUUCAGUAGGGAAGAUAAUGACGGUACCUACAGAAGAAGCCCCGGCUAACUUCGUGCCAGCAGCCGCCGUAACAC
rnacentral:rRNA from 1 species